CCUACGGGAGGCAGCAGUGAGGAAUAUUGGUCAAUGGGCGCGAGCCUGAACCAGCCACGUAGCGUGAAGGAUGACUGCUCUACGGGUUGUAACCUUCUUUUAUAAAGGAAUUAAGUGCGGCAUGUGUGCCUUAUUGUCUGUCCUUUUUGAAUAAGGCUCGGCUAACUCCGUGCCAGCAGCCGCGGUAAUACGGAGGCUCCGAGCGUUAUCCGGAUUUAUUGGGUUUAAAGGGAGCGUAGAUGGGUUGUUAAGUCAGUUGUGAAAGUUUGCGGCUCAACCGUAAAAUUGCAAUUGAUACUGGCAGUCUUGAGUACAGUUGAGGUAGGCGGAAUUCGUGGUGUAGCGGUGAAAUGCUUAGAUAUCACGAAGAACACCGAUUGCGAAGGCAGCUUACUAAACUGCCACUGACAUUGAUGCUCGAAAGUGUGGGUAUCAAACAGGAUUAGAUACCCGAGUAGUC
rnacentral:rRNA from 1 species